CCCAUGUUGUUGAAACGAUGGUUGAUUGCUAUUCGGAGGAGCGACGAAUCAAACCAAGGCAAGAUGUGGAAACUGUCACCUCACAGUGUUGUGUGUCAUUCCCACUUCAGACCGUCUGAUUUCAUUGCUGUAACUAGUUAUGGUGCUUGUUUUCCACAGAGAUGAGGCACAGAUGAUUCAAGAAUACAGGGUGUACACCUCUGAGGAAACAGAGAAAACCAGAUGCUGUACCAUCAAUCUUUCCCUGGACUGCAUCAGCCAACGCACUUGAGGCCGAUGGGGGAUUACGGAAAUCCCGCAUUGAAAGACGUGAGAGCCAAAA